rnacentral:rRNA from 1 species
UACGAAGGGGGCUGGCGUUGCUCGGAAUCACUGGGCGUAAAGGGUGCGUAGGCGGGUCUUUAAGUCAGGGGUGAAAUCCUGGAGCUCAACUCCAGAACUGCCUUUGAUACUGAAGAUCUUGAGUUCGGGAGAGGUGAGUGGAACUGCGAGUGUAGAGGUGAAAUUCGUAGAUAUUCGCAAGAACACCAGUGGCGAAGGCGGCUCACUGGCCCGAUACUGACGCUGAGGCACGAAAGCGUGGGGAGCAAACAGGG